CCACCGUCGGCCACCGCGCGCGCCACCUGCGUCGCGCCCAGUCCGCCGUCACCUCGCUGUCACUCGCCGGAGACCGCCGCGCCAGGAGCUUCGCUCUCUCUCCCCUUCGCACUCUCUCUCCCCUUCGCACUCUCUCGCUCCUCUUCUCUUCGCGACGCUGCUGCACGCGCAGCACCGCCGACGGGCCGCGCUCGCCGAACCACCGGAUACCACCGCCGGAGAUUUCUGCUGCUCGCCGUCGACCACCGAAGCCGGCGUCCACCUCAGUCGCGAUUCGUCCUCCCUGCUCCUAGUAGCAGAGAUUAAAGAAGAUAAAGGAUAUUACAAGCCUCCCCCGGCUAUCAAGGUUGGUAAGCAGGAAUUCAGGUAUGGAAGAACAGUUGUGGAUCACUGAUAGACUGCAUUAUGGAGAUUAUGUAUGAUUCUAUGAGGUUUUAGGAUACUUUGUAUGAUGGAUAAACAAGUAUUAUUAUACGAUGAGUAUUUGUAUAGUGAAUUUUCAAUU